rnacentral:rRNA from 1 species
UACGGGGGGGGCAAGCGUUGUUCGGAAUUACUGGGCGUAAAGGGCUCGUAGGCGGCCAACUAAGUCAGACGUGAAAUCCCUCGGCUUAACCGGGGAACUGCGUCUGAUACUGGAUGGCUAGAGUGUGGGAGAGGGAUGCGGAAUUCCAGGUGUAGCGGCGAAAUGCGUAGAUAUCUGGAGGAACACCGGUGGCGAAGGCGGCAUCCUGGACCACGACUGACGCUGAGUGAGCGAAAGCCAGGGGAGCAAACGGG